GUGGAGCAUGUGGUUUAAUUCGAUGCAACGCGAAGAACCUUACCUGGUCUUGACAUCCACGGAAGUUUUCAGAGAUGAGAAUGUGCCUUCGGGAACCGUGAGACAGGUGCUGCAUGGCUGUCGUCAGCUCGUGUUGUGAAAUGUUGGGUUAAGUCCCGCAACGAGCGCAACCCUUAUCCUUUGUUGCCAGCGGUCCGGCCGGGAACUCAAAGGAGACUGCCAGUGAUAAACUGGAGGAAGGUGGGGAUGACGUCAAGUCAUCAUGGCCCUUACGACCAGGGCUACACACGUGCUACAAUGGCGCAUACAAAGAGAAGCGACCUCGCGAGAGCAAGCGGACCUCAUAAAGUGCGUCGUAGUCCGGAUUGGAGUCUGCAACUCGACUCCAUGAAGUCGGAAUCGCUAGUAAUCGUGGAUCAGAAUGCCACGGUGAAUACGUUCCCGGGCCUUGUACACACCGCCCGUCACACCAUGGGAGUGGGUUGCAAAAGAAGUAGGUAGCUUAACCUUCGGGAGGGCGCUUACCACUUUGUGAUUCAUGACUGGGGUGAAGUCGUAACAAGGUAACCGUAGGGGAACCUGCGGUUGGAUCACCUCCUUACCUUAAAGAAGC
rnacentral:rRNA from 1 species